rnacentral:tRNA from 1 species
AAGGAUGUAUUUCAGUGGGAGAGAGCUUGCCUGGCAUGCAGAAGGCCCUAGGUUCAAUUCCCAG